UUCAUUUCCUGUAAAACGUGUAUUGUGCAUGCGCAUUGAACACUUCCUGUGACACGUAUAUUUUUUGUAACAGGUACUUGCUGACAUCAGUAUGGCUUGGUCUUUCGUGACGUGUCGGGAAUUUCAAAUCGUUGAUAUAUGAACAACAAGACAACUGUCAUAAAAUGCAUAGGAUAAGAAUUCCAAUGAAAGAUGUUCUCUAGUGUACUUCGUUGUGUCCCGCUGUCCAAAAUCGUCGCUUCGACAUCGCUGGUCUUAGGCGCCAAAUCAACCGUUGUCGUAUAACGUAGGAAGAACUCACGGAUGUUACAUACUUUUAAUAUACAAAUACAAACACACAAGUGAACGAGUGGAAUACCAAAGUCGAACUCCCACUCUGACAUUUGAGAAUAGUAUAUAUAAUAUCAACCUGUCCUAAGGACAUUUUAUAAUGUAUAUAAAUACACACGUUUUAGAGUUACAUAUAUAAAUCAUUUUGACAUAAGCUAGUCUGUAUGCAUCCUGAACUAUAAUACUCAUAAAUCAUGUCAUGUUCCAUAGUGCACAUUAUGAAAUAAAAACCUUAUUAUAUGUAUAUACAUGUUGACUUGUCAUUCUUUUUGAAUAUAGCGUGUAUGACUCAUUAGCCUGUGCAACCAGCUAU